rnacentral:rRNA from 1 species
AACGAACGCUGGCGGCAGGCUUAACACAUGCAAGUCGAGCGCCCCGCAAGGGGAGCGGCAGACGGGUGAGUAACGCGUGGGAAUCUACCCUUCACUACGGAACAACUCCGGGAAACUGGAGCUAAUACCGUAUACGUCCUUCGGGAGAAAGAUUUAUCGGUGAUGGAUGAGCCCGCGUUGGAUUAGCUAGUUGGUGGGGUAAUGGCCUACCAAGGCGACGAUCCAUAGCUGGUCUGAGAGGAUGAUCAGCCACAUUGGGACUGAGACACGGCCCAAACUCCUACGGGAGGCAGCAGUGGGGAAUAUUGGACAAUGGGCGAAAGCCUGAUCCAGCCAUGCCGCGUGAGUGAUGAAGGCCCUAGGGUUGUAAAGCUCUUUCACCGGUGAAGAUAAUGCCGGUAACCGGAGAAGAAGCCCCGGCUAACUUCGUGCCAGACGCCGCGGUAAUAC